rnacentral:rRNA from 1 species
GGGUGAGGAGAGUAUCCUAAGGCCAGCGAGAGAACUGUUGUUAAGGAACUCGGCAAAAUGACCCCGUAACUUAGGGAUAAGGGGUGCCACCAUCAGGUGGCCGCAGAGAAUAGGCCCAAGCGACUGUUUACCAAAAACAUAGGUUUCUGCUAAGUCGCAAGACGAUGUAUAGGAGCUGACGCCUGCCCGGUGCUGGAAGGUUAAGGGGAGCUGUUAGAGCAAUCGAAGCAGUGAACUUAAGCCCCAGUAAACGGCGGCCGUAACUAUAACGGUCCUAAGGUAGCGAAAUUCCUUGUCGGGUAAGUUCCGACCCGCACGAAAGGCGUAACGAUUUGGGCACUGUCUCA